rnacentral:tRNA from 1 species
GCACGCGAAGCCAAUUGGCCAGGCAGCAGCUUUACACGCUGUUUUUGGUAGGUUCGAUUCCUACCGCGUGCA